ACACAGCUGACAUCCACAACAACAACAACAACAACAACAAACACAGCUGACAUCCACAACAACAACAACAACAACAACAAACACAGCUGACAUCCACAUAACAUCCCUUCGUGUGUUUACAAAUGAUGUGAAUUGUGCAGAAUUUACAUAACACUCCAUACUACUGUAUUCUACUCCACCUGUAAACACCACCAUCACACUGAUACACAUUGGGCUUUAACACAACACCUGGACAACAACUGGGACUACACCUGGGACUACAGCUGGACAACUGCUGGACAACUGCUGGGACUACACCUGGGACAACAGCUGGACAACUGCUGGGACUACAGCUGGGACAACAGCUGGGACAACAGCUGGGACUACACCUGGGACUACACCUGAGACUACACCUGGGACUACACCUGGGACUACAGCUGGGACUACACCUGGGACAACAGCUGGGACUACAGCUGGGACAACAGCUGGGACAACUGCUGGGACUACACCUGGGACUACACCUGGGACUACACCUGAGACUACAGCUGGGACUACAGCUGGGACUACAGCUGGGACUACAGCUGGGACAACAGCUGGGACUACAGCUGGGACAACAGCUGGGACAACAGCUGGACAACUGCUGGGACUACACCUGGGACUACACCUGGGACUACACCUGAGACUACAGCUGGGACUACAGCUGGGACUACACCUGGGACUACAGCUGGGACUACACCUGGGACUACAGCUGGGACUACAUCUGGGACUACAGCUGGGACUACACCUGGGACUACAGCUGGGACUACACCUGGGACUACACCUGGGACUACAGCUGGGACUACACCUGGGACUACACCUGGGACUACAGCUGCUCAGGUAAACCACUGAUACUAGUGGUGAGGAACACGGUGGUCCAGUCAUGAUCUCUCUAGUGGUGAGGAACAUCUUGGUCCAGCAGGUCAUGAUCUCUCUAGUGGUGAGGAACAUCUUGGUCCAUCAGGUCAUGAUCUCUCUAGUGGUGAGGAACAUCUUGGUCCAUCAGGUCAUGAUCUCUCUAGUGGUGAGGAACAUCUUGGUCCAUCAGGUCAUGAUCUCUCUAGUGGUGAGGAACAUCUUGGUCCAUCAGGUCAUGAUCUCUCUAGUGGUGAGGAACAUCUUGGUCCAUCAGGUCAUGAUCUCUCUAGUGGUGAGGAACAUCUUGGUCCAUCAGGUCAUGAUCUCUCUAGUGGUGAGGAGUGUCAUGUAAUUUGUUGUGACAGACAGAGACAGACAGAGAGACUUCCUUCCUGUCUGCACCAUUAAUUACCUUCAAAUCCUUUAACUCUGAGCAGGUCGACUGUAGGAAGUUUUGGCUUCAUGUAUAAACAUUUGGAACAUUUCACCCCCUCCACAGAUUUAGAAAAGUUUGUGUCUUCUGUGUUUUGGGUCCAGGUUGUUGUGACUGCUCCAGACAGCCAGCUGCUCGCCUCCAUCCUGAUGAGACCGAUGACUGUAGUGUUGUCUACAAAUAUCAGGAGCUGGACAGAGGGAUGUUUAAAGUUGUGGUCAUUUGUGAAGAGAGACAAAAGCAGUGGGGAGAGGACACAGCCCUGAGGAGCUCCAGAGCUGAUGGUGUGGCUGUUGGAUGGGAGUUUUUCCAGCCUCACUCACUGCUGCCUGUCUGUCAGGAAUCUACUGACAGAUGGAGCUAUCGUUCCAUCUUCAGCUAAAUGAGCUCCUGGAUGUGAUCCAGUCCGGACACAAGACGGCUUUGUGCUGAACUCCGUUCUCUCCUCACAGUCCCUGAAUCUCCACACAGAGUCUGAGAGACCCCCACGACUCCGUCCUCGUCCUUCUCGCCCUGUUAUCAUCACCAAAUUUUCAACAGAAUGAACUGGAACACAGAGCAGCUUCUGGGUUCAUCACAUUACUCCAGGAGCUCCUCAGGUUCAGAUCAUCUGUCACACAUUAUCUUAAAGUAAA